rnacentral:rRNA from 1 species
CGGACGGGUGAGUAACGCGUGAGGAACCUGCCUUUCAUGGGGGACAACAGUUGGAAACGACUGCUAAUACCGCAUAACGUACUGGUAUCGCAUGGUACUGGUACCAAAGAUUUAUCGCUGAGAGAUGGCCUCGCGUCUGAUUAGCUAGUUGGUAGGGUAACGGCCUACCAAGGCGACGAUCAGUAGCCGGACUGAGAGGUUGGCCGGCCACAUUGGGACUGAGAUACGGCCCAGACUCCUACGGAAGGCAGCAG